GGAGGGGAGUGAAUUGAACACACGAGAGGCUGCGACGCCGGUGGCGGGAACGGGGUUAAUUAACCCUGCCGAGACCCUCUCCUCAGAACCCAGUGAAGAGUCCGGGUUCGUAGUGGGUUUGUUCCUGUGUUGGGUGAAUUGA
rnacentral:lncRNA from 1 species